AGAGUUUGAUCCUGGCUCAGAACGAACGCUGGCGGCAGGCCUAACACAUGCAAGUCGAGCGAGACCUUCGGGUCUAGCGGCGGACGGGUUAGUAACGCGUGGGAGCGUACCCUUUUCUACGGAAUAGCCUUUGGAAACGAAGAGUAAUACCGUAUACGCCCUUCGGGGGAAAGAUUUAUCGGAGAAGGAUCGGCCCGCGUUAGAUUAGAUAGUUGGUGGGGUAAUGGCCUACCAAGUCUACGAUCUAUAGCUGGUUUUAGAGGAUGAUCAGCAACACUGGGACUGAGACACGGCCCAGACUCCUACGGGAGGCAGCAGUGGGGAAUCUUAGACAAUGGGCGCAAGCCUGAUCUAGCCAUGCCGCGUGAGUGAAGAAGGCCUUAGGGUCGUAAAGCUCUUUCGCCAGGGAUGAUAAUGACAGUACCUGGUAAAGAAACCCCGGCUAACUCCGUGCCAGCAGCCGCGGUAAUACGGAGGGGGUUAGCGUUGUUCGGAAUUACUGGGCGUAAAGCGCACGUAGGCGGAUUGGAAAGUUAGAGGUGAAAUCCCAGGGCUCAACCCUGGAACUGCCUUUAAAACUCCCAGUCUUGAGUUCGAGAGAGGUGAGUGGAAUUCCAAGUGUAGAGGUGAAAUUCGUAGAUAUUUGGAGGAACACCAGUGGCGAAGGCGGCUCACUGGCUCGAUACUGACGCUGAGGUGCGAAAGUGUGGGGAGCAAACAGGAUUAGAUACCCUGGUAGUCCACACCGUAAACGAUGAAUGCCAGUCGUCGGGUAGUCUACU
rnacentral:rRNA from 1 species